CCGCGCGUCCCAAUCCGUAGUCUAUAAUAAAUAUCAGGCUACUCCUGCAUAUAAACUAACAGCUGAUGAAGCACUAUUUUUACACACUGUUUAGUGCACUAGUGUGCAAUUUGGGACGAAGUAUCACACACGGCUCUGUAGUUAGCGCGAGCUGAGAAUGCAGAGGGGAAAAGAGUUUGGAGAAAUGAGUUAAAGAGGCGAAUGAACUUUUCCGUAAACACAAAACUUUCCAUAAACUCCGAAUGGCGUUUGUUUGUUUGUUUGUUUGUUUGUCUUAAUUUUCUUAAUACUCAACAACUCGCAGGAAAGCUUUCAAGACAGCCCUGAAAAACCCACAGGUCACAUGCUCAACAGGAAGUUGCAUCGUCCAGAUUUCCUGCAGAUCACGGGAAGAAGAAAAGGUUUUUGCCGAUGAACGCAUGAGUGGAAUAAAGGCCGGAGCAGAGGGACACGGGACACCAGAGAGUCUGAAAAGUCACAGCACAGCUGUUACAAGCAGAUCAUGAAGAGCCGCAGUGUUACCUGAGUGGCUACUCUUGCUGCCCAUCUGGCUCUCUGAUUGGCUGUGGCUGACAGGGGCAAUCUCUUGGCAGCUCUGGAU